AGUUAAGCUUAAUGAACUCCACAGUAAUGGCUUACGCUUGCUUAAGACUUUCUAAAUAGUGUGUCAAGUCUCGCAAUAUGCAAUGUAAACAAUAAGUUACAGAGAUUUUGAUUAACUGUCAGUUACUUCAACUACUACCGUUUAUAUUUAAAAACUGACAUUGUCAGAAUUUUGUUAACUAUCGACAAAUAUUAUUAGAUGUUAGUGUGAGAAUUGGAGAUUCUCAAAGCUAGCAAGUUGUCGUAAACAGCAUCUAUACAGUAAAUAUCUUAAAACAAAAUUAUACUAUCCAGCUUGUAAGUGGUUAAACUAAGCAAGUCUUUCUGUAAGCACAAGGUUUUUAAUUCGUGAAAUUG